rnacentral:tRNA from 1 species
GUAGUUUAAUUAAAAACAAAAAACUAAUAAACUGUAGACUUAUAUAUGCUUUUGUAUGUGGACCGGGGUUCGACUCCCCGCAUCUCCACCA